GACAGAGGGUGCAAGCGUUGUUCGGAUUCAUUGGGCGUAAAGGGUGCGUAGGUGGCGGGGUAAGUCAGGUGUGAAAUUUCGGAGCUCAACUCCGAAACUGCAUUUGAUACUGCCUUGCUUGAGGACUGGAGAGGAGACUGGAAUUCACGGUGUAGCAGUGAAAUGCGUAGAUAUCAAGAGGAACACCUGAGGUGAAGACGGGUUGCUGGGCCGACACUGACGCUGAGUGCGCGAAAGCCAGGGGAGCAAACGGG
rnacentral:rRNA from 1 species